GAACUGCAUUGUGUUGAUGAAUCAAAGCAAAUCUGGAAUAAGUACCAGUACCAAUCAGGGAUAGAAUCCUUUAACAGGCUAUAGGUAAUGAUGUGCAGUGCUGUGCUGUUUAAUGGAGCUGUCAGCCAUGCAGUGCAAGCCAGCUAGUAUUUCACACAGGGGAGCAGUGAGGUGGCGCACUGCUGACUGGUUAAGUACAGUACUUCAGCCAGGCAGAAUAAGUGAUUCUCUGCACAGGGACCGGGCAAGAAGAGUGGUGCAGAAUUGAAGAGCAACUGGAUGACAGACACCUAAAAUAAUUCAGCUCUGGUAACAAGC
ensembl:lncRNA